UGUUGCAGAGCAGUGUGCAUAAGCAUUAGGAAAUGUUGCAGGAGAAGGUGAAGAACCGAGACAAAUUCUGAUUUCUCAAGGGGCAUUACUUCCUCUUGCAAAAAUGAUGUUGCCAAAUAAAGUUUCAGUUAACGGGUGAACCAAGUUUCUCUGAAAUGGCGACAGCAUUGUCAGGGCCUCCUUAUAUCUUUGUUUCUACUCCAGCUUGUGUCCAAAGAUGUCUUUCAUCAGGUGUUCUUCAAGCAAAAUCCGUUCAUGAUUAUCUUUCAAUUAUUAUUCUUGAUAAGGUAUGGAUUCUUUUCUUUCUGUAACAUUUAUAAUACUCUUUAUUAAAGUACUGAUUCAUGUUAGUAAAUCAGGCAGAUCUUCUUUUUACAUAUGGAUAUGAAAAGAAUCUCAAAGAUCUCAAAACUCACAUUCCUAAAAGAUGUCAAUGCCUUCUCAUGGCUGCUACCUCAAGCUUGAAGAAGCUUUAUCUACACAAUCCCUAUAUUCUUACUUUAGCAGAAGUUGGUGAUGGAAAGGACGAAAUUGUCCCCAAAAAUGUUCAGCAAUUUUGGGUAAGAGCUUAAGAGCUAAAAUCUUGUAUACUUAUUUAACAAACUUAUUUUAGGGCAUUUCUUUAAUACAUUUUAUAGUUUCUUGAAUCUUUAUUUAUUUCUUUUACUUUUAUAUUUAGAUACAAUGUAGUUAUCGAGAUAAGCUUCUUUACAUUCUUGCAAUUUUGAAGUUGGAUCUUGUUCAAAAGAAAGUCUUUAUAUUUACAAAUACAAUUGACACAAGUUUUAGACUAAAACUUUGAGCAAGUAUUAUUUUUCCCAUUA